rnacentral:rRNA from 1 species
GUGUAAGCGUAGCGAUACGUUGAGCUAACCAGUACUAAUGACCCGAGAGGCUUAACCUUACAACACCGAAGGUGUUUUAG